rnacentral:rRNA from 1 species
UACGGGGGGAGCAAACGUUGUUCGGAAUCACUGGGCGUAAAGGGUUCGUAGGUGGCCACUUAAGUCAGACGUGAAAUCCCUCAGCUUAACUGGGGAACUGCGUCUGAUACUGGGUGGCUUGAGUGCAGGAGAGGAAUGCGGAAUUCCAGGUGUAGCGGUGAAAUGCGUAGAUAUCAGGAGGAAUACCGGUGGUGUAGACGGCUCUCUGGACCGCGACUGACGCUGAGACACGAAAGCGUGGGUAGCAAACAGG